UUAAGCGACUAAGCGUACACGGUGGAUGCCCUGGCAGUCAGAGGCGAUGAAGGACGUGCUAAUCUGCGAAAAGCGCCGGCGAGGUGAUAUGAACCUUUGACCCGGCGAUGUCCGAAUGGGGAAACCCAGUGUGUUCCGACACACUAUCGUUAACUGAAUACAUAGGUUAACGAGGCGAACCGGGGGAACUGAAACAUCUAAGUACCCCGAGGAAAAGAAAUCAACCGAGAUUCCCCCAGUAGCGGCGAGCGAACGGGGAGCAGCCCAGAGUCUGAAUCAGCUUGUGUGUUAGUGGAAGCGUCUGGAAAGUCGCACGGUACAGGGUGACAGUCCCGUACACGAAAGCACACAGGUUGUGAACUCGAAGAGUAGGGCGGGACACGUGGUAUCCUGUCUGAAUAUGGGGGGACCAUCCUCCAAGGCUAAAUACUCCUGACUGACCGAUAGUGAACCAGUACCGUGAGGGAAAGGCGAAAAGAACCCCGGCGAGGGGAGUGAAAAAGAACCUGAAACCGUGUACGUACAAGCAGUGGGAGCCUCUUUUAUGGGGUGACUGCGUACCUUUUGUAUAAUGGGUCAGCGACUUAUAUUCUGUAGCAAGGUUAACCGUAUAGGGGAGCCGAAGGGAAACCGAGUCUUAACUGGGCGUUAAGUUGCAGGGUAUAGACCCGAAACCCGGUGAUCUAGCCAUGGGCAGGUUGAAGGUUGGGUAACACUAACUGGAGGACCGAACCGACUAAUGUUGAAAAAUUAGCGGAUGACUUGUGGCUGGGGGUGAAAGGCCAAUCAAACCGGGAGAUAGCUGGUUCUCCCCGAAAGCUAUUUAGGUAGCGCCUCGUGAACUCAUCUUCGGGGGUAGAGCACUGUUUCGGCUAGGGGGCCAUCCCGGCUUACCAACCCGAUGCAAACUACGAAUACCGAAGAAUGUUAUCACGGGAGACACACGGCGGGUGCUAACGUCCGUCGUGAAGAGGGAAACAACCCAGACCGCCAGCUAAGGUCCCAAAGUCAUGGUUAAGUGGGAAACGAUGUGGGAAGGCACAGACAGCCAGGAUGUUGGCUUAGAAGCAGCCAUCAUUUAAAGAAAGCGUAAUAGCUCACUGGUCGAGUCGGCCUGCGCGGAAGAUGUAACGGGGCUAAACCAUGCACCGAAGCUGCGGCAGCGACACUAUGUGUUGUUGGGUAGGGGAGCGUUCUGUAAGCCGUUGAAGGUGUCCUGUGAGGGGUGCUGGAGGUAUCAGAAGUGCGAAUGCUGACAUAAGUAACGAUAAAGCGGGUGAAAAGCCCGCUCGCCGGAAGACCAAGGGUUCCUGUCCAACGUUAAUCGGGGCAGGGUGAGUCGACCCCUAAGGCGAGGCCGAAAGGCGUAGUCGAUGGGAAACAGGUUAAUAUUCCUGUACUUGGUGUUACUGCGAAGGGGGGACGGAGAAGGCUAUGUUAGCCGGGCGACGGUUGUCCCGGUUUAAGCAUGUAGGCGGAGGUUCCAGGUAAAUCCGGUUCCUUAUUAACGCUGAGGUGUGAUGACGAGGCACUACGGUGCUGAAGUAACAAAUGCCCUGCUUCCAGGAAAAGCCUCUAAGCAUCAGGUAACAUCAAAUCGUACCCCAAACCGACACAGGUGGUCAGGUAGAGAAUACCAAGGCGCUUGAGAGAACUCGGGUGAAGGAACUAGGCAAAAUGGUGCCGUAACUUCGGGAGAAGGCACGCUGAUAUGUAGGUGAAGCCCCUGCGGGUGGAGCUGAAAUCAGUCGAAGAUACCAGCUGGCUGCAACUGUUUAUUAAAAACACAGCACUGUGCAAACACGAAAGUGGACGUAUACGGUGUGACGCCUGCCCGGUGCCGGAAGGUUAAUUGAUGGGGUUAGCGGUAACGCGAAGCUCUUGAUCGAAGCCCCGGUAAACGGCGGCCGUAACUAUAACGGUCCUAAGGUAGCGAAAUUCCUUGUCGGGUAAGUUCCGACCUGCACGAAUGGCGUAAUGAUGGCCAGGCUGUCUCCACCCGAGACUCAGUGAAAUUGAACUCGCUGUGAAGAUGCAGUGUACCCGCGGCAAGACGGAAAGACCCCGUGAACCUUUACUAUAGCUUGACACUGAACACUGGUCCUUGAUGUGUAGGAUAGGUGGGAGGCUUUGAAGCGUGGACGCCAGUCUGCGUGGAGCCAACCUUGAAAUACCACCCUUUAAUGGCUGGUGUUCUAACGUAGACCCGUAAUCCGGGUUGCGGACAGUGUCUGGUGGGUAGUUUGACUGGGGCGGUCUCCUCCCAAAGAGUAACGGAGGAGCACGAAGGUUAGCUAAUCCUGGUCGGACAUCAGGAGGUUAGUGCAAUGGCAUAAGCUAGCUUGACUGCGAGAGUGACGGCUCGAGCAGGUGCGAAAGCAGGUCAUAGUGAUCCGGUGGUUCUGAAUGGAAGGGCCAUCGCUCAACGGAUAAAAGGUACUCCGGGGAUAACAGGCUGAUACCGCCCAAGAGUUCAUAUCGACGGCGGUGUUUGGCACCUCGAUGUCGGCUCAUCACAUCCUGGGGCUGAAGUAGGUCCCAAGGGUAUGGCUGUUCGCCAUUUAAAGUGGUACGCGAGCUGGGUUUAGAACGUCGUGAGACAGUUCGGUCCCUAUCUGCCGUGGGCGCUGGAGAAUUGAGGGGGGCUGCUCCUAGUACGAGAGGACCGGAGUGGACGCAUCACUGGUGUUCGGGUUGUCAUGCCAAUGGCACUGCCCGGUAGCUAAAUGCGGAAGAGAUAAGUGCUGAAAGCAUCUAAGCACGAAACUUGCCCCGAGAUGAGUUCUCCCUGAGACUUUAAGUCUCCUGAAGGAACGUUGAAGACUACGACGUUGAUAGGUCGGGUGUGUAAGCGCAGCGAUGCGUUGAGCUAACCGAUACUAAUGAACCGUGAGGCUUAACCU
rnacentral:rRNA from 1 species